GGCCCCAUAGCUCAGUGGUUAGAGCAUUGGUUUGGCAAACCAGGGCUCGUGAGUUCGUAUCUCACUGGGGGGCCU